CCUGGAAGGGAGCAUCAUAGAGGGUGACAAUCCCGUCUUUGACACGGAGUAGGCCAGGGCUUCAUGUGAAGUGCUCUCGACGAGUCGAGUUGUUUGGGAAUGCAGCUCUAAAUGGGUGGUAAAUUCCAUCUAAAGCUAAACAUGGGCGAGAGACCGAUAGCGAACAAGUACCGUGAGGGAAAGAUGAAAAGAACUUUGAAAAGAGAGUUAAACAGUAUGUGAAAUUGCUGAAAGGGAAACGCUUGACGUCAGUCGCGUCGGCUGGGGAUCAACCUGGGGGGUUUGACUGGGCGUACUUCCUGGCUGACGGGUCAGCGUCAGUUUCGUUCGCUGUACAAGGGCCAGAGAAAUGUAGCACUCCUCGGAGUGUGUUUUAUAGUCUUUGGUCGAAUGCAACGAAAGGGACUGAGGGGGACUUGGCACAGACCCGAGAGGGACUCUCGUGCUUUCGGACGUUGGCAUAAUGGCGUCAAGCGACCCGUCUUGAAACACGGACCAAGGAGUCUAACAUGCAUGCAAGUAUUUGGGUGGGCAAACUCGAGUGCGCAACGAAAGUGAAGGUCGAGACCUCCGUCGUGGAGGGCAUCGACGCCCAGACUAGAGUCCGUCGGACAAAGGAUCUGA
rnacentral:rRNA from 1 species